rnacentral:rRNA from 1 species
AUUGAACGCUGGCGGAAUGCUUUACACAUGCAAGUCGAGCGGCAGCGCGGGGCAACCUGGCGGCGAGCGGCGAACGGGUGAGUAAUGCAUCGGAACAUGUCCAUUCGUGGGGGAUAGCCCGGCGAAAGCCGGAUUAAUACCGCAUACGCCCUGAGGGGGAAAGUGGGGGACCGCAAGGCCUCACGCGAUUGGGUUGGCCGAUGUCCGAUUAGCUAGUUGGCGGGGUAAGAGCCCACCAAGGCGAUGAUCGGUAGCUGGUCUGAGAGGAUGAUCAGCCACACUGGGACUGAGACACGGCCCAGACUCCUACGGGAGGCAGCAGUGGGGAAUUUUGGACAAUGGGGGAAACCCUGAUCCAGCCAUUCCGCGUGGAGGACGAAGGUCUUCGGAUCGUAAACUCCUGUCAGGUGGGGCGAAGGUUGCAGGGCAAAUAGUCUUGCAGCUUGACGGUACCACCAGAGGAAGCCCCGGCUAACUCCGUGC